rnacentral:rRNA from 1 species
GACGAACCGUGCGAACGUUGUUCGGAAUCACUGGGCUUAAAGGGCGCGUAGGCGGGUUGUCAAGUCCGGGGUGAAAGCCCCCAGCUCAACUGGGGAAGUGCCUUGGAUACUGGGAACCUCGAGGGAGGUAGGGGCGUGCGGAACUUCCGGUGGAGCGGUGAAAUGCGUAGAUAUCGGAAGGAACACCGGUGGCGAAGGCGGCUACCUGGACAGAAACUGACGCUGAGGCGCGAAAGCUAGGGGAGCAAACAGG